rnacentral:lncRNA from 1 species
GGGAGCAGAGAGACAAGGAAAUGCUGUCACCGCCGUUUAAGAAGCACGUGGAGGUUUGUUAAAGGUAUAGGGACAGCAGCCAAGGCGAGGGCGGGGCGAAGUCUCGGGGCUGGAGAGGAGAGGUCCGCAGUAAGUGGCCGGCCAGUGGCGGGCUACUGAAGAAGAACGUAGGGCAGGGAUCCCCUCCUGGCGCAGCGGAGGUUGGAAGACUGGGCAAGAAAACAUGGUUUGGGGGCCGGACUCGGAAGCAAAGGUGUUAGGGACACAGGGAGAGACUGAGGGAGAAGAUUGUGGCUUGAGAGUAAGGAGAGACUGAAACUGCCUUGUAAACCGCAGGGCAGGUGCUGAGGGUCGUGGUGGUGGGCUGAUACUCUGGGGACUGGGGAAGCACUCUGGGGUCAGGAAGGAGACUCUGAGGCGAGAAGGGAGUCAGCUGAAUAGAAAGAAGACAGAAAUUGGAAUCAGGCUACCCCAGAGCAGAAUGGUCUUCCCUUCUAACUUGUAACCCUUUCCUAAGGGUUGGGCUGGGCUCAGGGCAUCCUAUACCCAAUGCAGUGGAGUUACUACUAGCCACUGCUCUAACAGAUGGAAGGGCUGUCCCUUUCCUAAACCUCUUUCAACUUGGUUAUUUCCUCCUUUUCAUAUUUCUUCUUGUUGUUGUUGCUGUUUUUAUUUCUUUGUUGUUCCUUUCUAGGUAGUGGGAGGCAUAGUUUUUGGCAAUAGCCAGCCAAGGAUACAGGGAACAGGUGCGGCGCCUGCACGCUGACUUCACGUGGUGGAUGUCUGGCUGAGAGAGAAGUAGGAAAUCCUCACAACGCUUCUUCCAGCUUUGAUCUGCCUGGGGCAGCCCGUGGUGGAAGAUGACUCUGUAGCCCUGGUGUCUACCAGUAUCCGGAGUGGGAGCCCCAAGAGCCAUGUAGACAGGCACCCAGCACUGUGCCAGCUAUGUGGGAGUUGGCUGGCUCUGGGGACGAGCUGUUGGCAGUGCAGGUGGCUGGCGACAAGGAUGGAGUGUGAGGCCUCGAGACAGGAUGGCAGGCAGCACAGAAGCCUCCGCACUCAGCAGAGCUGCGGUCCUGGCUGCUCUGAGGGUAAGUAGAAAGUGUCUGGUUUCCUGCGUGUCUGAGGCACACUGGCCUCUUCCUCCAGCCUGGCUGCUGCUUUUCAGGCCCCCAACGCUUGUGGCUUUAAAUCUGAGUAAGUCACAAUCCCUGACUUCUUUCUCUGUAGUUCUGCCAAAAUGAAAAGGUGCCCCCCAAUACAGUUUCCACUCUGCAACUCUACUCAAACCCAGAGCCGACCCUGAGGAACCUGCUUGGUCCCAGACUUCCCUCCCACCCUGUGGGAACAGUAUUUUCUGCAAACCCAACCUUGUGGGCUAAGGCUUUUGACUCCUCUAGCUUCUCACAGACUGGGAGGCAGUGCCUUCCUCGGGGCUGGGGUGGGAGGUACAACAGUCGGCCAGCUCAGGAAGUUCUUCUAGGGUUCGCCUCUGUGGCUGAAGCAAGACUGGGAGUGGGAGAAAAAAGCAGAGACUGCACUGGGCUCUGGCUCCAGAGGCCCCCAGGUGCUCUGAGAGCCGGUCUCCUUUGGGACCAGGACCAGGAGGGUAAAUUGAGUCCACAGUUCCCGCCUCAGGAAUCCUUCUGUAAGACCUCUGACAUCACAGACAAAGGAAGCCCAACUGCCAAACGCAGACUUUGCCUUGGGCAACUAAAUUUAUUAGCAAGAAACUUUUUGUCAGCCCAGUACUGACCAACAAAAUACAUCGUUAAUAAAGGAUAACAAAUCUUCACUUAAUUAAUAAAACAUCCUCAAGCAGUUACAACGAAAAUAAAGUUGGAUUUCUGUUUAAUUUAAAAGCCUCAAAAAUAACAAGCAAUAUGUUUUUAAAACAUGUCUUAGACACAAUAGUCUAUUAUACAAUAUACACUGUACACAGUGGAGCUUGGGCAGGGGGAGAUGAGGGCGUGGCGGGGUCAGGAUGGAAGGUGUUCUCAGGUGAGUCCAGAUUUGAGUUGAAAUGUGUCAUUUAGAAAAGAAUUGUUAAAGUGAGAAAAAAAAUAGCAAAAAAAAAAAGACCCUCCUAUGCUCAGCAUUGCCCCCAAAACCCUAAACUGAAUGCAAGCAAGGGGGAGGCGUCUAGCAAAGAGAGGAAGGGAGCAAUUAAAUAAAAUGUGGUUAAAGCACA